rnacentral:rRNA from 1 species
AUUGAACGCUGGCGGCGUGCUUAACACAUGCAAGUCGAGCGGUAAGGCUCCUUCGGGAGUACACGAGCGGCGAACGGGUGAGUAACACGUGAGCAAUCUGCCCUUCACAUGGGAAUAACUUCGGGAAACCGAAGCUAAUACCGAAUACGACCACCGAUGGCAUCUUCUGGUGGUGGAAAGUUCCGGCGGUGAAGGAUGAGCUCGCGGCCUAUCAGCUUGUUGGGAGGUAAUGGCCCACCAAGGCGACGACGGGUAGCCGGCCUGAGAGGGUGACCGGCCACACUGGGACUGAGACACGGCCCAGACUCCUACGGGAGGCAGCAGUGGGGAAUCUUGCGCAAUGGGCGAAAGCCUGACGCAGCGACGCCGCGUGAGGGAUGACGG